rnacentral:rRNA from 1 species
GACGAACGCUGGCGGCGUGCUUAACACAUGCAAGUCGAACGGAAAGGCCCUGCUUUUGUGGGGUGCUCGAGUGGCGAACGGGUGAGUAACACGUGAGUAACCUGCCCUUGACUUUGGGAUAACUUCAGGAAACUGGGGCUAAUACCGGAUAGGAGCUCCUGCUGCAUGGUGGGGGUUGGAAAGUUUCGGCGGUUGGGGCUGGACUCGCGGCUUAUCCGCUUGUUGGUGGGGUAGUGGCUUACCAAGGCUUUGACGGGUAGCCGGCCUGAGCGGGUGACCGGCCAUAUUGGGACUGAGAUACGGCCCAGACUCCUACGGGAGGCAGCAGUGGGGAAUAUUGCACAAUGGGCGGAAGCCUGAUGCAGCAACGCCGCGUGCGGGAUGACGGCCUUCGGGUUGUAAACCGCUUUCGCCUGUGACGAAGCGUGAGUGACGGGAAUGGGUAAAGAAGCACCGGCUAACUACGUG